CUGAGGACUCGGGCAGCAGUGACAGCCCUUCUGAGUCCCACAGCACCUACAGCACUUGCUGUCAGACACGCAUCCAAGAAGACAGGUGGCAGCUCUAAGAACCUUGGUGGGAAAUCACUAUGGCAUCAAGAAAAUGGAAGGUCACUACGUUCAUGCUGGCAACAUCCUUGGCACUUAGCAUCAGUUUAGGUGACACCCAGGCGCUCAUGUGGGACUUGGGAGGAACAAGUGCCUGUAUGCCCUGGAGGAGGGGAUAGUCUGCUACACGAAAGAAGUCUACGUGCCUAAUCCCAAAAACUCAGAGGCUGUGAAUCUGGUCACUAGACUGCCCAAGGGUGCUAUCUCUGCAAGACUUUUGUCCACAUGGUUCCUGCCAAACCUGAGGAAACCUUCAAACUAGUAGACAUGCUUUGA
rnacentral:lncRNA from 1 species